rnacentral:rRNA from 1 species
UACGAACCGUGCGAGCGUUAUUCGGAAUCAUUGGGCUUAAAGGGCGCGCAGGCGGCGGUGUAAGUUGGAAGUGAAAUCCCAUCGGCUCAACCGUGGAAUUGCUCCCAGUACUGCAUCGCUCGAGGGGGAUAGGGGUUUGCGGAACUACCGGUGGAGCGGUGAAAUGUGUUGAUAUCGGUGGGAACGCCAGUGGCGAAGGCGGCAAACUGGACCCUUCCUGACGCUGAGGCGCGAAAGCUAGGGGAGCAAACGGG